UUUCUCACUCGAUCUAUGUACCAUAUUUUUUCUAAAUAUUACACCCAAAGCGCUGCCCCGUUUUAAGUGUUUUAACUCCCGAUCACCGCUACCCUUUCCGAUUGAUCUGAAGCCCAUAACGCAUGUCAGGGCAUUGCUCGACUAAGUUUGUUGGGAUUCUGUCUGGGGACAUCGGGAUAAGGUUGAAUUAGGGGGACUAUACUUACCACGAGUACAUUAUAUAUUUUUGUAUAGCUUUGAAGUUAUACCGAAAAUUUAUACCAGGAGAUUUUCUAGUUGAACCCUAAAGUUAUAAAGUGGGUCUAUUCUCUUUUCUCACUAUUUUAUUGCCUUUUGCUUUAUAAUAUAAUUAUAUUAAAAAAUGUCCCAAAAUGAUCCGUAAGUAAAAACCUGGACCCCUGAAACCCCAAUCCAUAUCAAGAAUCAAGAAAAUCAGAUAUUUAGUCUUCUCGCGGGCCGCGUAAAGAAAAGGUGGGAGGUCACGCGGGCCGCGACAGCUUGUAAAUCUCCGGGUAUGCAUGAAGGCCACGUGUCGUCACACGUGUCGCGACCACCGGUGACUCAGCAACCUCCGAUCUGAUCCACACAUCCACGCGAGCCGCGUAAGGUUUGGCCGAAGGUUCACGCGGGCCGCGACAGGCUUGAAUUUCACCUAUAAAUAGCCUAGCUCAGGAGCUCUCAUUCUGUGUCGAAAUCAAAACUCAAAAACGUAUUCCCACUGCUCAAAAUCACAAAUUAGCAUAACGGGGUGCUGCUACGAUACCAGGUUACAAGACUAAUCUAUAGGCUAAGCUCUGCCUGUAUAAAUCUGCAAUAUCAAGGCUAACCAGUAGGCUAAAUUCUGCCCGUAUAAAUCUGCAUGCUUAUAAAGUAAUUACAGUAUAUUGGAAUAAGAGUUGGACACGGCACCAAAAAGGCUUACAGAAGUGGCUUCGUUUAUUAAUUAAAUCAAAUUAAGAAAUAUUGUUUUAUGUAAUUGGGUUAUCCCUUAUUAAAGCUACCUUUGUAAAACAUGGAUUUAUCCCAUCUAUUUAAUAAAUAAAAUCCGGUGUUUUCUAAA